rnacentral:rRNA from 1 species
CGGACGGGUGAGUAAUGCUUGGGAAUCUGGCUUAUGGAGGGGGAUAACUACGGGAAACUGUAGCUAAUACCGCGUAGUAUCGGAAGAUGAAAGUGUGGGACCGCAAGGCCACAUGCCAUAAGAUGAGCCCAAGUGGGAUUAGGUAGUUGGUUAGGUAAAGGCUGACCAAGCCGACGAUCUCUAGCUGGUCUGAGAGGAUGACCAGGCACACUGGAACUGAGACACGGUCCAGACUCCUACGGGAGGCAGCAGUGGGGAAUAUUGCACAAUGGGGGGGAACCCUGAUGCAGCCAUGCCGCGUGAAUGAAGAAGGCCUUCGGGUUGUAAAGUUCUUUCGGUGAUGAGGAAGGUGUUUGUUUUAAUAGAACAAGCAAUUGACGUUAGUCACAGAAGAAGCACCGGCUAACUCCGUGCCAGCAGCCGCGGUAAUACGGAGGGUGCGAGCGUUAAUCGGAAUAACUGGGCGUAAAGGGCACGCAGGCGGUGACUUAAGUGAGAUGUGAAAGCCCCGAGCUUAACUUGGGAAUUGCAUUUCAUACUGGGUCGCUAGAGUACU